rnacentral:rRNA from 1 species
CCUACGGGAGGCAGCAGUGAGGAAUAUUGGUCAAUGGCCGGAAGGCUGAACCAGCCAAGCCGCGUGAAGGACGAAGGUGCCAAGCAUUGUAAACUUCUUUUGUCAAGGGACAAAAUCAGGCUCGAGAGCCUGACCGAGGGUACUUGAAGAAAAAGAAUCGGCGAACUCCGUGCCAGCAGCCGCGGUAAUACGGAGGAUGCGAGCGUUAUCCGGAUUUAUUGGGUUUAAAGGGUGCGUAGGCGGGCUGUUAAGUCAGCGGUAAAAGCCCGGGGACAAACCCCGGCGAGCCGUUGAAACUGGCCGGCUGGAGAUGUGGAGAGGUAUGCGGAAUGCGCAGUGUAGCGGUGAAAUGCUUAGAUAUUGCGCAGAACACCGAUGGCGAAGGCAGCAUACCGGCGGCGAUCUGACGUUGAGGCACGAAAGCGUGGGUAUCGAACAGGAUUAGAUACCCUUGUAGUC